UCUUCGCAUGCCUAUCGGCUGGAUGUCCGGGCGGCGCCGCUGUUGCGGCAUUGUACUGAUGACCUGCAGGUGGACCGACGGGUUUUGCUCCCCCGCUGCUAACAAACGCCACAACAAUAAUAAUUAUACUCGUAUUAAAUUUCAAUAAGCAGAUGAGGUGACCCUUGAGUGACCACUCACCAGUGACGAAGACCUCGGUGAAAAUAUAGUGAGGGUGAGGAGGAUCGGUGAUCGAAGCAAGUAGGCGGCAGAGCCAUUAGUAUAAGCCGGUUUCUCACUACCGGUGUACUUGCCAAGUAUAUGGGAAACUGUUACUUUGACUUUUGUCACAUUUACCGGCAAUUAUCGGGAAGAGUACCAAUGACCAAUGAUAUUGUAUAUGUGCCAAUACUGUUUCUACGGCAAGACAAAUACCACCAGUACUAAAUAUUGACCAAGUACACCGGUUGUGGAAAUACAACAUUAACGCAUUAUAUUAUAAUGUAAUAGAUUUAAAUAUGCAUAAAUAGAUACAUGAAUUUACAAAAUUUGUAUAGUGUCCUAGACACACUGAACACCUGCGACCUGCUUAACAUAUUGUAUACAUAUUGUUACUAGACCGAGCUCUGUUGUACAGAAACGAUUUGUACGUUAAAACCACUGCGAUUGGUCGUAGAUUAAUAAUGUAAAACAAAAAAAUUUCGACUGCGUGUUGGUGUAUUAUACUUGUUCAUUUUGCUGCGCAUAGUUUAGAUUUGGUCACGGUGUCUGAGUGCG